rnacentral:rRNA from 1 species
GACGAACGCUGGCGGCGUGCUUAACACAUGCAAGUCGAACGGAAAGGCCCUGCUUUUGUGGGGUGCUCGAGUGGCGAACGGGUGAGUAACACGUGAGUAACCUGCCCUUGACUUUGGGAUAACUUCAGGAAACUGGGGCUAAUACCGGAUAGGAGCUCCUGCUGCAUGGUGGGGGUUGGAAAGUUUCGGCGGUUGGGGAUGGACUCGCGGCUUAUCAGCUUGUUGGUGGGGUAGUGGCUUACCAAGGCUUUGACGGGUAGCCGGCCUGAGAGGGUGACCGGCCACAUUGGGACUGAGAUACGGCCCAGACUCCUACGGGAGGCAGCAGUGGGGAAUAUUGCACAAUGGGCGGAAGCCUGAUGCAGCAACGCCGCGUGCGGGAUGACGGCCUUCGGGUUGUAAACCGCUUUCGCCUGUGACGAGGCGUGAGUGACGGUAAUGGGUAAAGAAGCACCGGCUAACUACGUGCCAGCAGCCGCGGUGAUACGUAGGGUGCGAGCGUUGUCCGGAUUUAUUGGGCGUAAAGGGCUCGUAGGUGGUUGAUCGCGUCGGAAGUGUAAUCUUGGGGCUUAACCCUGAGCGUGCUUUCGAUACGGGUUGACUUGAGGAAGGUAGGGGAGAAUGGAAUUCCUGGUGGAGCGGUGGAAUGCGCAGAUAUCAGGAGGAACACCAGUGGCGAAGGCGGUUCUCUGGGCCUUUCCUGACGCUGAGGAGCGAAAGCGUGGGGAGCGAACAGGCUUAGAUACCCUGGUAAUCCACGCUGUAAACGGUGGGUACUAGGUGUGGGGUCCAUUCCACGGGUUCCGUGCCGUAGCUAACGCUUUAAGUACCCCGCCUGGGGAGUACGGCCGCAAGGCUAAAACUCAAAGGAAUUGACGGGGCCCCGCACAAGCGGCGGAGCAUGCGGAUUAAUUCGAUGCAACGCGUAGAACCUUACCUGGGUUUGACAUGGAUCGGGAGUGCUCAGAGAUGGGUGUGCCUCUUUUGGGGUCGGUUCACAGGUGGUGCAUGGCUGUCGUCAGCUCGUGUCGUGAGAUGUUGGGUUAAGUCCCGCAACGAGCGCAACCCUUGUUCACUGUUGCCAGCACGUUAUGGUGGGGACUCAGUGGAGACCGCCGGGGUCAACUCGGAGGAAGGUGGGGAUGACGUCAAGUCAUCAUGCCCCUCAUGUCCAGGGCUUCACGCAUGCUACAAUGGCUGGUACAGAGAGUGGCGAGCCUGUGAGGGUGAGCGAAUCUCGGAAAGCCGGUCUCAGUUCGGAUUGGGGUCUGCAACUCGACCUCAUGAAGUCGGAGUCGCUAGUAAUCGCAGAUCAGCAACGCUGCGGUGAAUACGUUCCCGGG